GGCGGAAUGGAAACUCCUGCACCACACUUCAUGGUUCGUACAUAUAUCGUGUUUGCAAUAGUACCUGACAACAGAAACGAUGAAUGCUCCGUUUAUUGUUAAGAACGUUUUGCUGUCAUAAUCCUAGCUGUCUAAAGGUUCUGCAAAAAAGUGCCAGCAACUGUGGUUCGAAGCAGCUGCCUGAGCCCUUGAACACCCAUUUCACGCCAGGAGGUUCCCUUGGGGACCAGAGGCAGCUGGCAGUGGCACUGGUGAGGAGACUGAAAAGGAACAUCCUGACUGGCUCAGAGGCCGGUGCUGCCAGCUGAUUGCUCCUGACUUUCGGUGGUUCCUUCAGCUGCACCGUGUAGGAUGGAUUUCCUGAAGAGUCUGAAAGAGCUCAGAAACCUGCUAGUUCUCAAGCAUAGCCGCUUACCGUCACAUUUGACGAAGGGAGGCGACAUUUAUGUGUGCUUUGUUGAAGACUGGUGUGUGUUACUAUUUGUAAGUACACCCAGUAUUGAUCGCUGAUCGGAGAUCUCACGGAGAUCCACUGAAACUGCAGUUAGGAGAAGGCAGUGCCCAGUCCGACCCCAGUAAGGAAACUACCCAGAGCUUCUGAGGCCUCGGCCUGUCCUUCUGUUCUGCAUGCGGAGUCACUGGAUCUGGGUCAGGAAAUGCACAGUACCAGAUGGGAUGUUAAGUAGAGCUGGCCUAACAAAGUAACACCAUUUCCACCAUCAGAGCAAAAGUAACAUUGAUUUACUAAUCAAUUGGAAAUUACCCCUGGAUGAAGGACAGAAAGAGGAUUCCUGGGAUCCUCUUUACUUAAUUGGAAAAUAAAGCUUAUUAUUAUUAUUAUUAUUAUUAUUAUUAUUUUAUCAUUACUAUGACUUUGUUGGGCUUGAUGUUGUCAAUCACAAAAUGCCUUUAUAAACUAUGGUUCCAGUUAUAACUGCUGACAUUACUGUUGCCUGAAAUGCUCUUACACUAAAGUUCAAGGGAACCCCUAAAUUUAACUAGGCUAAUUUGAGAUAGAAAUGUCAUUUGUAUGAAAAAAGAAAAAUAUUGGUAAGUAUUUCAAUUAAGAGCAAUUUUAUAUUCUUAAAAUUACAUAGUUGCAUCUGGAAUUUUGAUAGGAAGGAAAUAUAUUUUUCCUAAUAGAUAGGAAAAGUGAUUUUUCAAUUUGUUAUGUCUUUAGUUUACUGUUUGCAUUUGCUAUUCUGAUAAUAAGACACAAACCAGGAAGUGCAGUGCCCUGCUGUGUGGGCAGUGGGGGAGUGUCUGGGUGGGCGUGACCGUGUAGAGUCCACUCUUCUGUUCCCGACACACACCUGUUAAUCACGCACAAGGCCCCUGCUCUCUGACCCUCGUGGCCACCCGUGCUGCACGCUGGCUGCCAUCCUCCUAUCACUGGGAGCCUGGCUCCCCGGGAAGCAGUGGCACUGAAUUUGGCAAAAUGGUUGCUCCAAACCCAAAGUUCUCUUGUUGGGCUUUUGUGCUUUCCAAAGAGAAGACCAUUGGUGCAUUAUGGGACAGCUUUAUCUUUUCUUGCUUUUCCCAGUGAAAAUUCAAUUAAAUAAAAAAUGACUGUGUAAAAUAAAGGAGUUAUGUGAAAUAAUCUGAGGUGUGGAAAUUGGAAAAAGAAAUAGGAUUUUAGGACACUGAGAAAAAUAUUGAGCUAAUAAUCUGAACCAAGAAUAUAUACUUGAAAAUAAUGAACAGUUAGAGAUACACAAAAGUAUGUACUUCCUUAGAAGUAGCGAACGAAGGACAGAACCACAGUAGCCGAAUGUGGGAAAAGACAGUUAUGUGAAAUAAUCUGAGGUGUGGAAAUUGGAAAAAGAAAUAGGAUUUUAGGACACUGAGAAAAAUAUUGAGCUAAUAAUCUGAACCAAGAAUAUAUACUUGAAAAUAAUGAACAGUUAGAGAUACACAAAAGUAUGUACUUCCUUAGAAGUAGCGAACGAAGGACAGAAUCACAGUAGCCGAAUGUGGGAAAAGACAGUGUAAGGAAGCAGCUGGUAAUACAUGGAAAUAAAAGACAUCAGACUGUAAAUGGUGACAGCUGAAGUGUGCUGACUUUGCUCAGGUACUUAACUGCCUUCUGUCCCGAUAUCGGACGAGAAAAGCGAAACAGGGGCAUUGUCUCUGCUUUAGUGGGGGACACAGGGGCACCGAGGGGCUGAGUUGGGGGUUUGGGCGCCCAGUCAGCAGAUCAGGCAGGCCUGAGGGAGCCGAGUCUGAGCUCUGAAAGCAGACUAGGGGCCAUGCGUGCUUUUGUCUCAGCAGUUAUUCCAGAUCUUCAGCCUGUCAAGGGGAGGCUAUUACUUUAACUGGGUAUCUUAGAAAGGGAAACUUUGAAUAAGGUAGAGCAGUUUAGAAGGAGAGCAGAAAGGUAUAUCAAUAUAUUCAGUUUCAGUGAAGACUAAAUAAUGGGUAGAUGAUAUUCAUGGAAACUGUAAACCUCUGAUUCCUUGUUCCAGCCAACAAUCUAAACCAGCAGUCUGGAUCUACUGAUUGUGUCAUUUCCCAUCACCAGGGCAGUGUACCACACACCUGCAACUGUAAGGAGAACAGGUUUACUUUGGCUCAUGGUUUCAGAGGGUUCAGUUCACAGUCAUCUGGCUCCAAGGCUGAAGUGGCAUGGUGGAAGGGUCUGGCUAAGGGACAGCUGCUCAACCCAUGGUGGCCUAGAAGCAGCGAGAAUAGGGAGGGGUUGGGAACAAGAAGUCACCAAUGACCACCUCCAACCAGACCCCACCUCCUGCAGCUCUGAAUUUGCUCAUGAAUUAAUCCAGUGAUGAGUACAGUCCCCCCAUGAUCCAAUCACCUUCUAGAAGGCCCACCCAUGAACACGGGAGAUUCUGGGGAGACAUUAUAUCUAAACCUGAUUUACAGAGGGUUAGCCUUGAACUAAUCAGAGAUUUUUAAAAGCCCUUUUCUAAUAAUGGGACUAUAAUUACUUGUGAUUGUUCUAUGUAUUUCAUGCUUUGGUGGUUCAAUUUGGCUGUACAUAUAUUAAAUUUGGUUAUAGAAAACUUAAAGCUGUCAUUUGUUGAAUAUUUACUAUGUGGCCACUAAGUACUUUUUAAUUCUUCUUACUUCAUGAGAUUGAUUUUUUAAUUGACAUGAUAAACUCAUCAUAGUAGUUCUCAUAAUAAACUAAGACAUAGAAACUGGGGCUCAGAGUAGCUACCUAUGUGCCCAGCUACGCAGCUGAUUAAUGCUGAGUUGGGAUCUGCAUACAGGCCCAUGAAGACCUCUUGACCACCCUCUUUCCUAUUUUUAUUUAUUGAUUUCACAACAGAAUGUUAUCAAAAGGGUCUCCACAUCAGACUAUUCCUAAAAUGGUAUGUGCAGUGCAUCCCAAAAGAGUUGAUUUUGGCCAUUGCUAUUUUUUGUUCAUUCUGUAAGACAAGAAACUCUCCACAUCGCCUUUUUUUUCUUUUCGGUACCUAGAAUCGAACUCAGGGCCUCUCGCUCGCCAGGCAGGUGCCGUGCCGCUGAGCCACAUCCUGGCCUGACACUGCCAUUUGGAUUGGUGUAUUAUUUUGAAUUCCAUCCUCACCCUCUGCCAGGCACACACAGAGUCUAAAACAAUUACCAAAAACUAGUUAGUUCUCCACUUACAGAAUCAUUUCAUUUCUUUUCUUUGGGAAAGCAAUGUGAUUUUUGAUUCCUUUCUUCAUACCGUGGAAAAAUUCUUUUUCCUACUGAAGAGAAAUGAAAAUCUCUUAUGAUACGAGGCCUAUGUAGAAGGUACUUGGUUCAUAGAAGGCUAUAUUCUCUUGUUCAUUUUAGCCACACCUUAAAUUGCUUUUGCUCCCUCCUGGCUUGGAUAAAGUAAGUUGUGUAUACAUUGAAUUCUCACCUUGGUCCAAAGUAAAAUAAAUGGCAUCUUCCAGCAUCCGAAAGUGUCUGAAAUGUGUCUGUUUACAUAAGUUUAUCCAGAGGAG
rnacentral:lncRNA from 1 species